rnacentral:rRNA from 1 species
CACGGGGGGAGCAAGCGUUGUUCGGAAUCACUGGGCGUAAAGGGCGUGUAGGCGGUCAAGUAAGUGGGAUGUGAAAUCCCUCGGCUCACCCGAGGACCUGCAUCCCAAACUGCUUGGCUUGAGUAUGGGAGAGGAUGAGGGAAUUCCUGGUGUAGCGGUGAAAUGCGUAGAUAUCAGGAGGAACACCGGUGGCGAAAGCGCUCAUCUGGCCCAAUACUGACGCUGAGGCGCGAAAGCUAGGGGAGCAAACGGG